rnacentral:misc_RNA from 1 species
UUUCCGUAGGUGAACCUGCGGAAGGAUCAUUAACGCUAAUCCAAAUACCUAAACCAAUCCUUAAGUUGCAGCAUUGGUGCAAGCUAGCGAAAGCAGGCAUGUCCAUUGCAGCAUCUAAUAAAACUAAACUAAAGGAGUUUAACUAAGCUCUUAACCAAAAACCAAAUUCUCAACGGUGGAUAUCUUGGUUUCC